GGAUGUGAGGGCAAUCUGGCUACAGCAUCUGUCACCCCAUUGAUCACCAGUGUUGAUUUGGCUGAUCUGGCUGGCUAGGUGGGUGUCAUCCCCUUCCUCCCUCACUGCUCCAUGUGAGUCCCUCCCAAAGCUGCACGCUUGGUUGAAGGAGAGGAUCAUCUCUGAUAGAGGAGGACCGUUCUUCCGUCAAGGGUAUACGAGUAGCUGCACUUCUCUGCUAAAAUCUCCCAACAAGCUCUCAAGAAGUGUUAGGGUUAGACUACUUAAUUAGCGUGACAUCCCAUUGAGUCAUUCUCUACAAUU
rnacentral:snRNA from 1 species